UCACCAUGCAGUCGAACGAUGAUGCCUAGCUUGCUAGGUGGAUUAGUGGCGAACGGGUGAGUAACAUUGAGUAACCUGCCCCUGACUCUGGGAUAAGCCUGAGAAAUGGCCAUUGGGUCUAAUACUGGAUAUGAGCAUCUAUCGCAUGGUGGGUGUUGGAAAGAUGGGAUGGACUCGCGGCCCUAUCCAGCUUGUUGGUGAGGUAGUGGCUCACCAAGGCGACGACGGGUAGCCGGCCUGAGAGGGUGACCGCGCCACACUGGGACUGAGACACGGCCCAGACUCCUACGGGAGGCAGCAGUGGGGAAUAUUGCACAAUGGGCUGAAAGGGCUGAUGCAGCGACGCCGCGUGAGGGAUGACGGCCUUCGGGUUGUAAACCUCAGGGAAGAAGCGAAAAGUGACGGGCAAAAGAAGCGCCGGCUAACUACGAGCAGCCGCUUUAAUACGUAGGGCGCAAGCGUUAUGCCGGAAUUAUUGGGCGUAAAGAGCUCGUAGGCGGUUUGUGCCGUGAAAGUCCGGGGCUUAACUCCGGAUCCUGCGGUCCCGGUACGGGCAGGCUAGAGUGCAGUAGGGGAGACUGGAAUUCCUGGUGUAGCGGUGAAAUGCUGCAGAUAUCAGGAGGAACACCGAUGGCGAAGGCAGGUCUCUGGGCUGUAACUGACGCUGAGGAGCGAAAGUAAAUUGGGUAGCGAACAGGA
rnacentral:rRNA from 1 species